AGAAGCACCGGCUAACUACGUGCCAGCAGCCGCGGUAAUACGUAGGGUGCAAGCGUUAAUCGGAAUUACUGGGCGUAAAGGGUGCGCAGGCGGUUCUGUAAGUCAGAUGUGAAAUCCCCGGGCUUUAACCUGGGAACUGCGUUUGAAACUGCAGAGCUAGAGUGCGGCAGAGGGAGGUGGAAUUCCAUGUGUAGCAGUGAAUGCGUAGAGAUAUGGAAGAACAUCGAUGGCGAAGGCAACCUCCUGGGCUAGCACUGACGCUCAUGCACGAAAGCGUGGGGAGCGAAACAGGAUUAGGAUACCCCUGGUAGUCCACGCCCUAAACUAUGUCAACUAGUUGUCGGGGCCUUAAUAGGCUUGGUAACGUAGCUAACGCGUGAAGUUGACCGCCUGGGGAGUACGGUCGCAA
rnacentral:rRNA from 1 species